rnacentral:rRNA from 1 species
UACGGGGGGCUGCAGUGGGGAAUAUUGCACAAUGGGCGCAAGCCUGAUGCAGCGACGCCGCGUGAGGGAUGAAGGCCUUCGGGUUGUAAACCUCUUUCAGUAGGGAAGAAGCUGGCCUUUGGGUUGGUGACGGUACCUGCAGAAGAAGCGCCGGCUAACUACGUGCCAGCAGCCGCGGUAAUACGUAGGGCGCAAGCGUUAUCCGGAAUUAUUGGGCGUAAAGAGCUCGUAGGCGGUUUGUCGCGUCUGCCGUGAAAGUCCGGGGCUUAACUCCGGAUCUGCGGUGGGUACGGGCAGACUAGAGUGCAGUAGGGGAGACUGGAAUUCCUGGUGUAGCGGUGAAAUGCGCAGAUAUCAGGAGGAACACCGAUGGCGAAGGCAGGUCUCUGGGCUGUAACUGACGCUG